rnacentral:lncRNA from 1 species
ACUCUUUAUCCAGAUGCUUCUUUUAGCAUGUUUCAGCCACCUGAUCUCUAAGUCAUGUGGGCUUACCUAACAGUUAUUGCCGGUACUCCUUAGUUAAGUCAGACCCAUCAUUCACAAGCAGGUAUAAAAUCGUCAUUGAGUUUCUCACCUAACAGUUAUUGGGCUUAACCCCAUCUUUACCCUAGAGCAACUCUUUGCUAAUAGAGUGGUUGCGUAUUCCCGAUACAACUGAACCACUAUGAUCAGCUGAGAACAAUCAACAUCGGUAGUAUGCCCGUACAUAUACAACAGUGGA